UGUGAAUCAGUUCAGUAAGGAAUUGAUACUCAUCCAGUGGUGGAAGAAUAUCAGUUGAUUCAAUACCAAUUUUUACCGCCGAUGCAAAUUUUUGCCAGUCAAUGUUCCUCGUGAGGUCGAAAGGAACCUGAAUAGGCACUGAUCGUUGAUAGCCAUUUUUGAUUGGGGUGACUAUGGGCAUGUGGUCACUACCAUGGGGAUCUUGGAUUACCCUCCACUGACAAUCCAAUGAUAGUGAAUUUGAGCAUAAAGGCAGAUAUCUAUUUGACUUUCUUGACCGUGAGGUCCAAUUCGAGUUACUUCUAUUGUGUUCAAAAUAUUCAAGUUGAAAUCGUCGCACAAAUCAUAGAAAAUUGGCGCUCUGUUAUCGUCUCUGGUUUCGCCCCAUGCAGUACCAUAUGCAUUUAUAUCACCCAGUAUUAAAACUGGGGAUGAUAGGAGAGCGACUGCGCUCCAAAGAUGUCGACGAUUAAGUGAGGCAUUUGGAGGAAUAUAUACUGAAGCUAUGCAAAGGUCUUUAUUCUUUACAUUUACUUGACAAGCGACGAUUUUUAAGCCAUUAACGGUCGGGAUGGGAAUUCUGUAGAAGGGGUAACAUUUUGAUCCCUAAGAGGACGCCACCAUAAUGAUCAUCCCGAUCUUGGCGAAUAAUGUUAAAAUCUUGGAAGUUGAUUUCAUCUUCAGAAGAAAGCCAUGUUUCACAGAGUGCAAAUAGAUCACACUCAGAAUUGCGAAUCAAAAACUUGAACACGUCUAAUUUAUGUUUAAGACUAUGACAGUUCCACUGUAGCCCAGUGAUCAUAUCUUCCAUAUUGGCCGUAUUAUCCAUCGAAAGAUAUGAUUUCUGCAAGAAGAGGCCAUGAAACAGUCAGUUGCUUCAGAUAUGUUUCUACUGUUGGUAUAAAGAGGUCAACUAUUGCCCUCAUCGAAUUUGGUAUGUUGAAUAAUUUCAAAAUACGGUCCACAAGUUCCUUAAAAGAUAUCAUUCCUCGCUUGGACAAGAUUAUUUUCUUGGAAGUGGGGCACAUAAACCAAAUAUUCUACAUCAGUUGGUCUUUUGCGAUAGUGUUUGCAUCCUGAUAUGUAGGUGCGGUAACACGUAGUUUGUUCCGAUUAAUCUGAUAAAAAUCAGUUUUCGGAAAACGACGCGUCAAGUCACGUUUGAUCCCUAGAAAAUCAAUACUUUUCAAGUAAACAACCCAAGGCCCAGGCGAAGAAGCCUGGUAGAAUCGCGUGCGAACGACAUUGUCUUUGGGAGGCGUUUCGCCUCCGUUUUUUCGUCCAUGAAUGUAAUCCCCCAGAAAAAUAAAAUAGAAGAGAGAAAAAUAAUACUAAUAGGUUUUAAUUAUAAUAAUAACAAAACAAACACAAAAAAAAAAAUUUACUGCAAAAAAAAAAUCGUCACGCACCCUGUACUCUAGGCUGCUCAUUCCUACUAGUCGCUUAUGUAUACUGUCGUAGCUCAAUUCUCAUCAUAGCUAGGCUUUCUAUUUUUUCGGUUUCAGCCAUUUCACGAUCUGAGAUUUAUCAUUUCUUCGUUUGCUAGUGCCUGAGCAUAUAAUACUUGUGACACAUAUAUGAUACCAAUAUCACUGUACAGCAUAAAAUAUGUCUGUCAUCCAGAAUCACGUUGAUAUCACGAUAGCACGAUGAUUUCCGUACCCUGCUCUUCGACCGUUGUAUUGUAUGAAACAGAACAUAAUUUGUUCCCCAUAAAAAAUUUGACAGCUCCGAGUUUUCACGAUCACCCGAUGAAAUCGGGUGCCUACAAAAUCGACCUAUUUUUACACCGACGACGUCGAUUGUCGUAGGCCACAUAUUUUCGUCGCCAGAUUUAUUGUAUGAUUAAGUCGCGAACAAUCGGUGCCUAUUUCAUCGGUGAAAUAAUCGAUUGAUUGUGUAUUUAUUGCUUAUUUUGAUCGUCUGAUUAUUGAACAAACGAAAUCGGGUCCCUGUGUUUACAAACAUAGAGUAAAGCAAUGUAAUACUACACUGCUAUUUAAUUAAGUUAAACAAGAUCUUAAUUGUAAGAUUUUUCGGUUGUGACAUAUUCCGGAACAUCCCGGAGAAUGGUUAUCUUGUAGUAAGCGGUUAAUAAAGAAUCAUGAAGCUCGAGACGUCCCCGCACGAUUACAAAGUGUCUACGGUAUUCCUAGAAUGAUCAGACGUGCCACCCGAUUCGAUAUACAGAUUAAACCCCAUAUUUCGUCGGAUUCCAUGAUUAUCAACACCGAUUAAUUUACAGAUUUAGUCUAAUUUGCUAAAUGAUGAAAAUAAAUAAACCGAUUAAACACCCUA